rnacentral:rRNA from 1 species
CCUACGGGGGGCAGCAGUGGGGGAUAUUGCACAAUGGUCGAAACCCUGAUGCAGCGACGCCGCGUGAGUGAAGAAGUAUUUCGGUAUGUAAAGCUCUAUCAGCAGGGAAGAAAAGGACAGUACCUGUCCAAGAAGCACCGGCUAACUACGUGCCAGCAGCCGCGGUAAUACGGAGGGGGCAAGCGUUAUCCGGAUGUACUGGGUGUAAAGGGAGUGUAGACGGGUAGGUAAGUCGGGAGUGAAAGCCCUGGGACCAACCCCGGGACUGCUUUGGAAACUGUGUAACGGGAGUACAGGAGGGGCAGGCGGAAUGCGUGGUGUAGCGGUGAAAUGCGUAGAUAUCAGGAGGAACACCGGCGGCGAAGGCAGCCUGCUGG